UACGAAGAGGGCUAGCGUUGUUCGGAAUCACUGGGCGUAAAGCGCGCGUAGGCGGAUCACUAAGUCAGGGGUGAAAUCCCGAGGCUUAACCUCGGAACUGCCUUUGAUACUGGAGAUCUGGAGAUCGGGAGAGGUUGGUGGAAUUCCGAGUGUAGAGGUGAAAUUCGUAGAUAUUCGGAGGAACACCAGAAGCGAAGGCGGCCAACUGGCCCGAUACUGACGCUGAGGCGCGAAAGCGUGGGGAGCAAACAGG
rnacentral:rRNA from 1 species